ensembl:lncRNA
AUCACAAGGCAGUCGGAGCUCAGCUGGAGGCAGCUUAGCCAAUAGUAGCAGCAGCAUAAGCAGUGGACGGGACAUUGACCAAGACAAUCGGUCCUCGUCUCCAAGUCUCUCUGCUUCCCCCUUGGCCAGUUUGGAUUCUGAAUCUGACUCUCCAGAUUCCCCAAAGCAGGGUGAUAAAAACAAAGAUGGAGGGACAUCAAAAUGUGUAGCAGAGAAUCGGAGAAGCUCAGGGAAAGGUGAGGAUAGCAGACCAGAGGACCAGAGAGACAGUGAGGGAGGAAUGGAGGGAGAUUUGUCUUCGUUAAAGUCAUCAUCAUCCCUAUAUACAUCUCAUCGUGGAAUGGUGGACAACGCAAGUGAUGCAAGCAACAACAGGAAGUCAUACUUCCCCCUAGAUUCCAAACUUGCAAACAAAGUGGAGUAUACAGGUCCUGGUGGUCCCGAAACACUACACACCUGCAGUCGCAUCCCUUCUAAACCAAGCACUCAGUGUGGGAAACCUGGGAUGGGAGGAGCUGAGUAUUCCCAUGGGAAUUCAAAUGUGAGCCAUGGACCGACACUCCCACCUCCACCUGCUCUAAAACCUUUAGAGGUGGGGCAGAAUGCUCCAAGUGGGGAAAGUAAAGCAGACAAACCAGAGAAAGGUGAUAAGUCUGUUCCACCCUCCUUGCUUCCACAAACUAGUACCGUUUCCCAGCAACCUCCUCCUCCCAACACCCACCAUUACACCCCCACCAGCUGGUCAGGGGGACCUCCCUCUAGUUGUCCUGGCAACUGGGGAUAUGUACGUUAUCCAGGUAACCACCACACACAUCCAAGCCAGCAGCCUCCAGUACAGCAACAGCUGCCCUCUGUGUACAAUUCUCCUUCUUCCACCCGACACUCCUCCCACCCACCUUACCUAUCUCACCCUCAUCCCCACCCACACAAAGAGUUCCUGCCCAGGUAUAGCACUGCAGCUGAGCGGGAGAGGGGUGGGAGAGAAUUUGGUAACAGAGACUUCCCUGCUAGUAAUAGCAGUAGCAAUGCAAACAGCAACAGUGGUAGCAUCUGUGGUAGCACUUCUGGUGGUGGAGGACCCAACUCUAAUGUGGGCCGGGAUUUUGGGAAUUCGCUACCUGGACAGAAAAGAGAAUAUAGUGCAAACCGGGAUGGACCUGCAGGACCACAGAGCGGUCGGGAAUACGGACCAGGGUUUAGAGAUCGAGGAACUGGGAGGGAAUUUCCUUUGCAAAACCAGCAGCUUC